UAGGGAAUCUUCGGCAAUGGGGGGAACCCUGACGGAGCAACGCCGCGUGAGUGAAGAAGGAUUUCGGUUCGUAAAACUCUGUUGUUAGAGAAGAACAGCGCAUAGAGUAACUGUUAUGCGUGUGACGGUAUCUAACCAGAAAGCCACGGCUAACUACGUGCCAGCAGCCGCGGUAAUACGUAGGUGGCAAGCGUUGUCCGGAUUUAUUGGGCGUAAAGCGAGCGCAGGCGGUCAAUUAAGUCUGAUGUGAAAGCCCCCGGCUCAACCGGGGAGGGUCAUUGGAAACUGGUUGACUUGAGUGCAGAAGAGGAGAGUGGAAUUCCAUGUGUAGCGGUGAAAUGCGUAGAUAUAUGGAGGAACACCAGUGGCGAAGGCGACUCUCUGGUCUGUAACUGACGCUGAGGCUCGAAAGCGUGGGUAGCAAACAGG
rnacentral:rRNA from 1 species